rnacentral:rRNA from 1 species
UAACGCAUAUUUGCUGGAAUGCUUUAUGCGUCAAAAGGAUUCGUCUGCCCAAGGAUGGGUCUGCGGCCUAUCAGGUAGUAGUGGGUGUAAUGUACCUACUAGCCAGCGACGGGUACGGGUUGUGAGAGCAAGAGCCCGGAGAUGGAUUCUGAGACAUGAAUCCAGGCCCUACGGGGCGCAGCAGGCGCGAAAACUUUACAAUGCGGGAAACCGUGAUAAGGGGACACCGAGUGCCAGCAUCAUAUGCUGGCUGUCCGGAUGUGUAAAAUACAUCCGUUAGCAAGGGCCGGGCAAGACCGGUGCCAGCCGCCGCGGUAACACCGGCGGCCCGAGUGGUGAUCGUGAUUAUUGGGUCUAAAGGGUCCGUAGCCGGUUUGGUCAGUCCUCCGGGAAAUCUGAUAGCUCAACUAUUAGGCUUUCGGGGGAUACUGCCAGACUUGGAACCGGGAGAGGUAAGAGGUACUACAGGGGUAGGAGUGAAAUCUUGUAAUCCCUGUGGGACCACCUGUGGCGAAGGCGUCUUACCAGAACGGGUUCGACGGUGAGGGACGAAAGCUGGGGGCACGAACCGGAUUAGAUACCCGGGUAGUCCCAGCCGUAAACGAUGCUCGCAAGGUGUCAGGCAUGGCGCGACCGUGUCUGGUGCCGCAGGGAAGCCGUGAAGCGAGCCACCUGGGAAGUACGGCCGCAAGGCUGAAACUUAA